AUUGAACGCUGGCGGAAUGCUUUACACAUGCAAGUCGAACGGCAGCACGGGGCAACCUGGUGGCGAGUGGCGAACGGGUGAGUAAUACAUCGGAACGUGCCCAGUCGUGGGGGAUAACGUAGCGAAAGCUACGCUAAUACCGCAUACGCCCCAAGGGGGAAAGCGGGGGAUCUUCGGACCUCGUGCUAUAGGAGGAGCCUGCGUCGGAUUAGCUAGUUGGUGAGGUAAAGGCUCACCAAGGCGACGAUCCGUAGCUGGUCUGAGAGGAUGAUCAGCCACACCGGAACUGAGACACGGUCCGGACUCCUACGGGAGGCAGCAGUGGGGAAUAUUGCGCAAUGGGCGAAAGCCUGACGCAGCCAUACCGCGUGUGUGAAGAAGGCCUCGGUUGUAAG
rnacentral:rRNA from 1 species